UAGGGAAAGUUUUUCGGUGUAGGAUGAGACUAUAUAGUAUCAGCUAGUUGGUAAGGUAAUGGCUUACCAAGGCUAUGACGCUUAACUGGUCUGAGAGGAUGAUCAGUCACACUGGAACUGAGACACGGUCCAGACUCCUACGGGAGGCAGCAGUAGGGAAUAUUGCGCAAUGGGGGAAACCCUGACGCAGCAACGCCGCGUGGAGGAUGACACUUUUCGGAGCGUAAACUCCUUUUCUUAGGGAAGAAUUCUGACGGUACCUAAGGAAUAAGCACCGGCUAACUCCGUGCCAGCAGCCGCGGUAAUACGGAGGGUGCAAGCGUUACUCGGAAUCACUGGGCGUAAAGGGCGCGUAGGCGGAUUAUCAAGUCUCUUGUGAAAUCUAAUGGCUUAACCAUUAAACUGCUUGGGAAACUGAUAGUCUAGAGUGAGGGAGAGGCAGAUGGAAUUGGUGGUGUAGGGGUAAAAUCCGUAGAUAUCACCAAGAAUACCCAUUGCGAAGGCGAUCUGCUGGAACUCAACUGACGCUAAGGCGCGAAAGCGUGGGGAGCAAACAGGAUUAGAUACCCUGGUAGUCCACGCCCUAAACGAUGUACACUAGUUGUUGGGGUGCUAGUCAUCUCAGUAAUGCAGCUAACGCAUUAAGUGUACCGCCUGGGGAGUACGGUCGCAAGAUUAAAACUCAAAGGAAUAGACGGGGACCCGCACAAGCGGUGGAGCAUGUGGUUUAAUUCGAGGAUACGCGAAGAACCUUACCUGGGCUUGAUAUCCUAAGAACCUUUUAGAGAUAAGAGGGUGCUAGCUUGCUAGAACUUAGAGACAGGUGCUGCACGGCUGUCGUCAGCUCGUGUCGUGAGAUGUUGGGUUAAGUCCCGCAACGAGCGCAACCCACGUAUUUAGUUGCUAACGGUUCGGCCGAGCACUCUAAAUAGACUGCCUUCGUAAGGAGGAGGAAGGUGUGGACGACGUCAAGUCAUCAUGGCCCUUAUGCCCAGGGCGACACACGUGCUACAAUGGCAUAUACAAUGAGACGCAAUACCGCGAGGUGGAGCAAAUCUAUAAAAUAUGUCCCAGUUCGGAUUGUUCUCUGCAACUCGAGAGCAUGAAGCCGGAAUCGCUAGUAAUCGUAGAUCAGCCAUGCUACGGUGAAUACGUUCCCGGGUCUUGUACUCACCGCCCGUCACACCAUGGGAGUUGAUUUCACUCGAAGCCGGAAUACUAAACUAGUUACCGUCCACAGUGGAAUCAGCGACUGGGGUGAAGUCGUAACAAGGUAACCGUAGGAGAACCUGCGGUUGGAUCACCUCCUUUCUA
rnacentral:rRNA from 1 species